rnacentral:rRNA from 1 species
UCAUGCUCGAAGGUGCGGGUAUCGAACAGGAUUAGAUACCCUGGUAGUCCGCACGGUAAACGAUGGAUGCUCGCUGUCGGCGAUACACUGUCGGCGGCCUAGUGAAAGCAUUAAGCAUCCCACCUGGGGAGUACGCCGGCAACGGUGAAACUCAAAGGAAUUGACGGGGGCCCGCACAAGCGGAGGAACAUGUGGUUUAAUUCGAUGAUACGCGAGGAACCUUACCCGGGCUUGAAUUGCAGGUUUUGGAUCAGAGAUGGUCCUUUCCCUUCGGGGUUCCUGUGAAGGUGCUGCAUGGUUGUCGUCAGCUCGUGCCGUGAGGUGUCGGCUUAAGUGCCAUAACGAGCGCAACCCCUUUCGUCAGUUGCCAUCAGGUCAAGCUGGGCACUCUGGCGACACUGCCACCGCAAGGUGUGAGGAAGGUGGGGAUGACGUCAAAUCAGCACGGCCCUUACGUCCGGGGCUACACACGUGUUACAAUGGGGCAUACAGAGCGUCGGCAUGUCGCAAGACGUGUCUAAUCGUGAAACUGUCCCUCAGUUCGGAUUGGGGUCUGCAACCCGACCCCAUGAAGCUGGAUUCGCUAGUAAUCGCGCAUCA